rnacentral:rRNA from 1 species
UAAGGAAUAUUGGUCAAUGGACGCAAGUCUGAACCAGCCAUGCCGCGUGGAGGAUGAAGGCCCUCUGGGUUGUAAACUUCUUUUCUUUGGGACGAAACCUCUAUUUCUAUGGAGACUGACGGUACCAGAGGAAUAAGCACCGGCUAACUCCGUGCCAGCAGCCGCGGUAAUACGGAGGGUGCAAGCGUUAUCCGGAUUCACUGGGUUUAAAGGGAGCGUAGGUGGGCUUGUAAGUCAGUGGUGAAAUCUCUGGGCUUAACCCGGAAACUGCCAUUGAUACUAUAGGUCUUGAAUUCUCUGGAGGUAAGCGGAAUAUGUCAUGUAGCGGUGAAAUGCUUAGAUAUGACAUAGAACACCCAUUGCGAAGGCAGCUUACUACGGAGACAUUGACACUGAGGCUCGAAAGCGUGGGGAUCAAACA